rnacentral:misc_RNA from 1 species
AUGUUGCACAAAGUACUUCAUGAUAUUAUCAUUUAGGAUGGACAAUGCAUGAUUGAUUAAUCAUAUUGCUUCGUACGUUAGAUAAUGGAUUCAUUAUUGAACUUAAUGUAAUGGUUAAAGUAUACAGUCUCUAUAACACAACAGAUGAUAUAGAACACUGCUUAUACGUGGCAGUAUUGAUACGUUGUUCUUUUUCUUCUCACAUAUUUAUAGAAGAAUUAUGACACAUUUGUCUAUUAAAGGAGGCUUUUUAUUUUGAAAUCAAGGUAACUUUCUGGCCUCAUACUUAUUCAAUGUGUGUUAUAGAGUUGGAGUUGGUUUCUAAUUGGAGAUUUGAUUGGCUUUGGAACACAGUCAUUAUAGGUUAUUUUGAAAGAAAGUCUCAGGCUUUUAAAUUAUUGGGAGCUCGUAUUGGGUUCAAAGAAGAUGAGACUAAUUAAAGGGAGUAUCUGAAGUAGCUGAGAAAUCAAAAUAAGAAUCAGAAGAGCACCAUUUGGGACUAUAUAUAUAUAUAUGAUGGCAUAAGGUGGAGAAUAGUGAGAUAGUCCACUAGGAUGGGAGUUUGUGAGUGGACACAAAAGCAAUGUUUUGAUCAGAGAUCAUGGUCAAGCUAUAGAUCAUACUCUUUUAGAUAUUCACUGCUGUGUUGAGACAAUUUGUCUGCA